rnacentral:tRNA from 1 species
GUUUUUAUAGUUGAAGUACAACUAUGGUUUUUCAUACCAUGAGUCUUGGUUUAAACCCAUGUAAGAACU